AAAUUGAAGAGUUUGAUCAUGGCUCAGAUUGAACGCUGGCGGCAGGCCUAACACAUGCAAGUCGAACGGUAACAGGAAGCAGCUUGCUGCUUCGCUGACGAGUGGCGGACGGGUGAGUAAUGUCUGGGAAACUGCCUGAUGGAGGGGGAUAACUACUGGAAACGGUGGCUAAUACCGCAUAACGUCGCAAGACCAAAGAGGGGGACCUUCGGGCCUCUUGCCAUCAGAUGUGCCCAGAUGGGAUUAGCUAGUUGGUGAGGUAACGGCUCACCAAGGCGACGAUCCCUAGCUGGUCUGAGAGGAUGACCAGCCACACUGGAACUGAGACACGGUCCAGACUCCUACGGGAGGCAGCAGUGGGGAAUAUUGCACAAUGGGCGCAAGCCUGAUGCAGCCAUGCCGCGUGUAUGAAGAAGGCCUUCGGGUUGUAAAGUACUUUCAGCGGGGAGGAAGGUGUUGUGGUUAAUAACCGCAGCAUUGACGUUACCCGCAGAAGAAGCACCGGCUAACUCCGUGCCAGCAGCCGCGGUAAUACGGAGGGUGCAAGCGUUAAUCGGAAUUACUGGGCGUAAAGCGCACGCAGGCGGUCUGUCAAGUCGGAUGUGAAAUCCCCGGGCUCAACCUGGGAACUGCAUUCGAAACUGGCAGGCUUGAGUCUUGUAGAGGGGGGUAGAAUUCCAGGUGUAGCGGUGAAAUGCGUAGAGAUCUGGAGGAAUACCGGUGGCGAAGGCGGCCCCCUGGACAAAGACUGACGCUCAGGUGCGAAAGCGUGGGGAGCAAACAGGAUUAGAUACCCUGGUAGUCCACGCCGUAAACGAUGUCUACUUGGAGGUUGUGCCCUUGAGGCGUGGCUUCCGGAGCUAACGCGUUAAGUAGACCGCCUGGGGAGUACGGCCGCAAGGUUAAAACUCAAAUGAAUUGACGGGGGCCCGCACAAGCGGUGGAGCAUGUGGUUUAAUUCGAUGCAACGCGAAGAAUGGUCUUGACAUCCACAGAACUUUCCAGAGAUGGACUGGUGCCUUCGGGAACUGUGAGACAGGUGCUGCAUGGCUGUCGUCAGCUCGUGUUGUGAAAUGUUGGGUUAAGUCCCGCAACGAGCGCAACCCUUAUCCUUUGUUGCCAGCGGUUAGGCCGGGAACUCAAAGGAGACUGCCAGUGAUAAACUGGAGGAAGGUGGGGAUGACGUCAAGUCAUCAUGGCCCUUACGACCAGGGCUACACACGUGCUACAAUGGCGCAUACAAAGAGAAGCGACCUCGCGAGAGCAAGCGGACCUCAUAAAGUGCGUCGUAGUCCGGAUUGGAGUCUGCAACUCGACUCCAUGAAGUCGGAAUCGCUAGUAAUCGUGGAUCAGAAUGCCACGGUGAAUACGUUCCCGGGCCUUGUACACACCGCCCGUCACACCAUGGGAGUGGGUUGCAAAAGAAGUAGGUAGCUUAACCUUCGGGAGGGCGCUUACCACUUUGUGAUUCAUGAGACUGGGGUGAAGUCGUAACAAGGUAACCGUAGGGGAACCUGCGGUUGGAUCACCUCCUUA
rnacentral:rRNA from 1 species